AUUGAACGCUGGCGGCAGGCCUAACACAUGCAAGUCGAGCGGAUGAAGGGAGCUUGCUCCUGGAUUCAGCGGCGGACGGGUGAGUAAUGCCUAUGAAUCUGCCUGGUAGUGGGGGAUAACGUCCGGAAACGGGCGCUAAUACCGCAUACGUCCUGAGGGAGAAAGUGGGGGAUCUUCGGACCUCACGCUAUCAGAUGAGCCUAGGUCGGAUUAGCUAGUUGGUGGGGUAAAGGCCUACCAAGGCGACGAUCCGUGACUGGUCUGAGAGGAUGAUCAGUCACACUGGAACUGAGACACGGUCCAGACUCCUACGGGAGGCAGCAGUGGGGAAUAUUGGACAAUGGGCGAAAGCCUGAUCCAGCCAUGCCGCGUGUGUGAAGAAGGUCUUCGGAUUGUAAAGCACUUUAAGUUGGGAGGAAGGGCAGUAAGUUAAUACCUUGCUGUUUUGACGGUACCAACAGAAUAAGCACCGGCUAACUUCGUG
rnacentral:rRNA from 1 species